UACGUAGGGGGCAAGCGUUGUCCGGAUUUAUUGGGCGUAAAGAGCGUGUAGGCGGCUUUACAGGUCCGUUGUGAAAACUCGAGGCUCAACCUCGAGACGCCGGUGGAAACCGUAAAGCUAGAGUCCGGAAGAGGAGAGUGGAAUUCCUGGUGUAGCGGUGAAAAUGCGCAGAUAUCAGGAGGAACACCCGUGGCGAAAAGCGGCUCUCUGGGGACGGUACUGACGCUGAGGCGCGAAAAGCGUGGGGGAGCAAAACAGGG
rnacentral:rRNA from 1 species